rnacentral:rRNA from 1 species
UACGUAGGGUGCAAGCGUUGUCCGGAAUUAUUGGGCGUAAAGAGCUCGUAGGCGGUUUGUCGCGUCUGCUGUGAAAUCCCGAGGCUCAACCUCGGGCCUGCAGUGGGUACGGGCAGACUAGAGUGCGGUAGGGGAGAUUGGAAUUCCUGGUGUAGCGGUGGAAUGCGCAGAUAUCAGGAGGAACACCAAUGGCGAAGGCAGAUCUCUGGGCCGUAACUGACGCUGAGGAGCGAAAGCGUGGGGAGCGAACAGG